GACGAACGCUGGCGGCGUGCCUAAUACAUGCAAGUCGAACGCAGUGGGGACGGGUGAGUAACACGUGGGUAACCUCCCAUCAGAGGGGAUAACACUUGGCAACAGGUGCUAAACCGAUACUGAUGGAUGGACUCGCGGUGCAUUAGCUAGUUGGUGAGGUAACGGCUUACCAAGGCCACGAUGCAUAGCCGGCCUGAGAGGAUGAUCAGCCACACUGGGACUGAGACACGGCCCAGACUCCUACGGGAGGCAGCAGUGGGGAAUCUUCGACAAUGGACGAAAGUCUGACCGAGCAACGCCGCGUGAGUGAAGAAGGUUUUAGGAUCGUAAAGCUCUGUUGUUAGAGAAGCGUUAUCUAACGAGAAAGCCACGGCUAACUACGUGCCAGCAGCCGCGGUAAUUC
rnacentral:rRNA from 1 species